rnacentral:lncRNA from 1 species
GUGAGCUACCAUGCCAUUUACCUUUUUUAUGCUUAAAAUAAAUGUAUAAAAUAUUAAAAAUCAUUUUCCUCCCAAGAACCAAACGUGUAUUACUAAAUAUGUUUAGUUGACCAUGCAGGCUAUUUGAGAGACAGUGGGAGAUGCUGAAAUAUUCAAGCACCACUGUUUUGGUGGGUAUCGGAAGAUUUUCAAUCAAUAGUUUACUUAUUUGGUUAUGUAUUAGGUUGUAUUGGGUGGGGCCAAUCAUUAUGUGACUAUUUUUUUCUUCAGAGUGGUGAUUGAAAAGCAGCCCCCAACCGUUUUCUCCGAGAGGUGCAUGCUGAGCCUGCCUGCAGCUUACCCCCAACCCCCAGCCCCUAGCCCGGCUCUCCUUGUCUUACAUGAGUCAGUUUCCUUCUGCUGCUAUUCUGGACAAAAACCUCUAUCAGGACAGAGACCUUGUCUUGUUCACCCUAUUCCUGGCAUCAAGGCUGUGUCUGACAUGUAAUGGGGAUGGCUGUUUGUUUGGUGGUGGUUGAGAUGACCAAGAUGUUCUUGACCUGUGUAGGGUGGUAGUGGAGAAACAGGCACAGGCCCUUGUGGUGUAGUUGCGAAAAAGGAGCUCACACUAAUGGGAACCAGAUUGUAUCAUUGGCUGAGUAUACAGCAGAUGCGUUCCCCUUUGUUAUUUUAUCACUUGCUUACCUGGAAGCUCUGGUCUGACUUUAGGAACAUGCCACACACUUGGAUAAACAUGGACUCCUUUACUAGAGAUUUAUAGAAUCUUUUUCCUAGAGCCAUUUGAGAAGCACUUGUCCAAGACGUGCUAUUUUAUAGGCUAUUUUGAUGUAAGGGAAAAGACGUAUCCUGGAUCUUCCAGAAAGCAUGGAAUUAUGGCUGCGUAUUAGGAAGAGGCCUGGCUUUCCUGUGGGAAUUGAACAGAAGACAGGCAUCUCUCAUGUUCUGGUUGUUGCAGUUUUGCUUCUUCUGUUCAUUGAAUUAGCGUUUCAGAGCUCUCCAUGUGUGAGUUUCCAUUUGGAAAUGGUAUAGUCAUCAUCGUAAUGUAGCAGUCAUUCGUUAAUUUUUAUGAGCCACUUGUGACGUUUCAGGAAGCUGACAGCCGACAUGGAUUAGCUCAUUUAUACCUAGGGAAACAGAGGCACCAGAGGCCACAAAAGCUAUUCAGGGUCACACAGCCUAUGUGUGAGGUUUAUUAUGUAAAGCCGUGCCCCUUUUCCUGUUGGAUGGUGAAGUUCCUUCCUUCUGGCUUUAAUGUUUCCCCCUUGUUUUAUUAGGAAAGGAGGAAAGGAAAUUCAGUUAUAGUGAAGUUCUAAUCUGCCAUCUUAACCUGGAGUUUGGCUUUUUUCUUGUUCUGUGUUCCUUUUGUACCUUACUUAGAUCUCGGUUAAAUGAAACCAUGAGAGACCGUGGCCUGCCCAAGGAAAUCGUGUUAAGUGCUCACUUCACUGCGGGUCAGAACCCCGGAGUGUUUCACCCAUGGAAAUAGUCAGCAGUCGCCACAUGCAGGGUCCUCACUCACUGCUGGUACCUUUGUGUAGUAGUUACUUUGUAUUUUACAAUGUAAAUUAAAAAAAAAAGUUGGGAGAGGAAGUGAAAUCUGAUUUGGCUAAAUUUUGUAAACAAAGAUGUUACCAAUAAAACCUUUUUCCCAGUGUAUAAAUAAUAUGUGGUCCAAAAUUCCUUUUAAAUGUCACAAUACAAAACUUUUCCAAAACCCCAACAUUAGUGACUGACUUCAGUAUUUUUAUCAAAGUUAAAUGAGCCAAACUUAUUUUUUACAAAUUUCUGGCGCAUUCAUGAUUGAAAUUUUAAAUAUUCUCCUAGGGAAAAACGAGGGCUGAUUGUCCUUUUCAAGGUAUCCAUCUCAUCCCACUUGUUAAAAAUAAUUAGGGAAUAAUACAGUUUGCAGAUUUUCUCCCGAUGUCAUCAUGGCACUCAGUAACAAGGAAUAUUGUAGAUGAAUUUUGAAAAUGUUUUUCCUGGAAGAGAAUCCCAAACGUGUGGCCGAAAGGGACCCAGGACCUGCCAGCCAUGCUCCUCCUGUCUUUCUCCCUUCCAGUCUGAACCCCACAGCGCUGGGCGGUUGACGAGGUGUGGCCAGCUUGCAUCUGCUGAAAGAACCGGGGUGGCCCCACUGCAUCUUGAUCAGACACUGCCAUGAGGUCCCUCCCCUCUCUGAUGGCAAAGGGAAACAGUGGGCUCUACACAUGGAGCUUUGAAGUCAAGAGUCAUUUUCAUCCUUAGCUCAGGCAUGAAAAAAAAAAAAAGAAUAGUAAAAAUUAAAAACCCUUUAAAAAGAUAAAAAUCAACAGUAAAAAA